GAUGAAGAACGUAGUGAAAUGCGAUAAGUAGUGUGAAUUGCAGAAUUCAGUGAAUCAUCGAAUCUUUGAACGCACAUUGCGCCCAUUAGUAUUCUAGUGGGCAUGCCUGUUCGAGCGUCAUUAAGUCCACUUAAGCCCUGCUUAGUGUUGGGAGACUGCUCCAGCGGUGCUACCCUGUAGCUACCCUGCAGCUCCUCAAAGACAGCGGCGGAGUUGUGGUAUCCUCUGAGCUUAGUAACUUGUUCUAGCUUUCGAGUACACCACUUCCCCUGCCGUAAAACCCUUAAUUUUUAAUGGUUGACCUCGGAUCAGGUAGGAAUACCCGCUGAACUUAAGCAUAUCAAUAAGCGGAGGA
rnacentral:misc_RNA from 1 species